AGUGAACGCUGGCGGUAGGCCUAACACAUGCAAGUCGAACGGCAGCACAGUAAGAGCUUGCUCUUACGGGUGGCGAGUGGCGGACGGGUGAGGAAUACAUCGGAAUCUACUUUUUCGUGGGGGAUAACGUAGGGAAACUUACGCUAAUACCGCAUAUGACCUACGGGUGAAAGCAGGGGAUCUUCGGACCUUGCGCGAUUGAAUGAGCCGAUGUCGGAUUAGCUAGUUGGCGGGGUAAAGGCCCACCAAGGCGACGAUCCGUAGCUGGUCUGAGAGGAUGAUCAGCCACACUGGAACUGAGACACGGUCCAGACUCCUACGGGAGGCAGCAGUGGGGAAUAUUGGACAAUGGGCGCAAGCCUGAUCCAGCCAUACCGCGUGGGUGAAGAAGGCCUUCGGGUUGUAAAGCCCUUUUGUUGGGAAAGAAAAGCAGCAGGUUAAUACCCCGCUGUUCUGACGGUACCCAAAGAAAAAGCACCGGCUAACUUCGUG
rnacentral:rRNA from 1 species